rnacentral:ncRNA from 2 species
UGAACGCACUAGGGGUGUAUUCUUUACUGAGAUGAGGCCAACCUCAAACCCUUCGAACCUGAUCUAGCUAGUUACUAGCGUAGGAAAGUGUUGUUAUACAUCU